ACUCCAUUCUCUUUUAAUCAACAGUUGUUCUGGCAACCACUGAUGCACUUUCAGGCAUCUGUUUUUACAGAUUUAUCAGGAAGCACAAAGUCUUCCUGAUAGGGUUGCCAGAUUGCAUUAAAAAUGAAACCAGCUUCUGGAAUUUUUUGCGUGCAUGCUCUUGGGCCCAGCAUGAUGAUGUCACUCUGGAGUGACAGAUGGGCAAGUUAGCCUGCCACUUCCUAGACAUGUGAGAGGAGCCUGGGCCAACUGGUUGCUCCUGCAGCGCUCAGCUUCCUGGCUUCUUCAAUAUAUACAAGGUGAUUUCAUUGCUUAGAAAAACCAGAACAGAAAUUUUAUGGGACUUCUUUACAAGAACAGGACCACUAAGCCAUACAAGGGAUUUCCAUGAAAAAAUCUUAUAUGGACUCCAAAACUAAGCAAAGGAACCAUCAGGCAAACGCCAGCCAUCAAGGUGAAAGCACUGGUGUGCCCGAAGUGACGGCGUCGACGAGUUGUUCUGCUCAGCUUUUCAUCCGUGACUUCCUCAGGGGCAGCCACCGUUACUAUAAAAGACAUUUACCAUAAACACCACCAAUACAACACUAAUUGUUCAUUACACAGUAAUAUCCUGGAAACCCCCUUCUUUGGGGGAGACAAGUACAUACCCUUAUUCCACCAUUCAGUCUUCUCCUCAAUCUUCCGGCAAAAGCGACGUCGGCAAAAGCCUGGAGUGGCUUCCAAACUAAUUGCCCGGAAUAUAUACAACUAAUUACCAACUGGUGUGGUGAGCACACCGGGGGGGAUCAAUCCAGAAAAGACCUAUAACUGAUUUCAUUAUUUAGUCCUACAGGGGCCAUUGUCUUCAAGGAAAAAAUCCAAAAUCCUUGUGUUUUACUUGCUGCUUCAAAUGUGAUCACUUUUAUAAGCUGCUACUUCUGUACUAGUUAAUAUAUUUAAUUGUUCUUAAAUUAUUGAUUUUUUCUAUUGCAUUUUAUUUUUAUAAUUUUACUCUACUUUUAUUACUGCUAUUAAUUUUAAUAACAUUAUUAUUGGUAUAUUGUUAAAGCUGGCAAAUAUUUAUUAUUAUGAGAUUCUUUUAAAGUAGAUUGUUUUUAAUUAUCUCAAGCCUCCUUUAGAUCCAUCUGGUUGACUGUGUAGGCUAAAAAUGAUUUAAAUAAUAAAUAAAAGGAGAGUAUCCAAGUAGAGAUGGGCACGAACCAAAAUACAAACCAAAACUAAGCAUGAACCAGGCUUGUUUGUGGUUCGCGAACCCCGGUUCAUCAGAUUCCAUUUCUGAUGAACCGCCAUAAACUUUUAGGCUGGUUCGUUUGGUUCGUUUUUUGGUUAGUCACUGCAGGCAGCUUGGUGCCUAUCAAUCAGUUUCCUAGGCAAUGGGGAAUAGACUUCCUGCAGACCUUCUCCUGACCCGGAAGUGAACUUCUGCUGGCCUGGAAGUGACCUUCUGCUGGGCUGGAAGUGAUGAUUUUCUGACUCGGAUGUGACAUUUUCAUGAACCAAAUGAACUGGUUCACGGUCCAGGGGCAGGUUAGUGAAAGUUCAUGGUUCGUGGUUCAUGAAAUUUGACAAACCAUGAAACCCAUGUGUUGUAUUCCUGUACAGUGAAGCCAGUCUAUUUCUCUGAUCCUGAACUCCAUUUUAAGUAUGGAAAGUACCAGAAUAUUAUGUUUUACUGGAAGCAUUCCAAAUGACAUGUUCUCUGAACAGGGAAGAACAAGUGAUAUUUGCUUUUGCUGAUGUUUGCAUUAGCUUCUGUGGACAGAGACGGAAAUCAAUAAUGGAAAGAAGGCCAGAUUCGGUCGAAUAUGUCACAAAACCUAGUAGAAGGGGGGGGCUGACGAAUAACAAAUGCAGAGGCUUAUUUCAAACGGACAACUUUUUUUCCUUUUUCUGACUCUUAAGAUUCAAAGACGUUAAAACACAGUAACUUUCACAUCUACUCUUAUGUCUGGAGAAGGAAAACACUGUACACACACUAGCAGUCAUAAGAACACAAUUAAAGAGAGGAAAAUGAGGAAGAUCCACAGCAAGAAAGAUCCGUUUAAGACCCUCUUCUGUUUUCAAGAAGAAAUAAUGACAGUCCAUCUGCAGAAGCCAGUCCAGUACAUUCAGAAAUGCUAGUCCAAGUCACUUAAGAACACUGCCUUAACUAUAACAUCACGCUGACACUAACCACAUGAUUGUUUGGCUGGAAACACACAUACAUGCAUGCAUAUAUCCAUAUAUUCACAGCUUAAUCAAUCUCAUUAUAGCUCUACAUGAAAUAACUCAGCAAUCGCUAUACAUAUAUCAAUCACAUAGGCCUUAACCAUAAGGAACUCAGGAUAUACUGAACCAAACAAAAUGGAGUCAAAAUGAACCUUUGAAUGGAAACAUGGCAAUAAGCUAAAAUCUAGGGGAUUUUUGCUGAUACAUGAUAUUCAUAUGAUUAAUGAUAACAAAUAUUGAGGGAUCAGAAUGACCUGACCAUUUUACAGAUGUCACGAUCUCAGUGCAAAUUCUGCAAAUGUUACAAUUUUUAGGUGAUUUCCAGUGCCAGGAAUGACUCUGAGGAAUCUCAUUGGUGAAUUUGAAUGGGAUGAUGUAGGCCAAAAUUGUAUAAAAAUGAGCAGAAAAACCAUGGAGUCUAAGAAGCUAGGAGGAGAGAAAGUAAGGAAUACCUCCUUGCUAUCUCUCUCCUUUCCCUUUCAGAUUGGAAAAGCGCUCUCCCAUUCUUUCCAUCAAUGAGAAUCUCUGGGACAUCUCCAGGAUUGGUAAGAUAAUUUACUAUGCCUUAUUCUAAUUGUAUUGUUAAUUAAGCUAUUGUAUUGCUAAGACCAUGCUGUACCAUGAUUCUCAAAGUUUAUGUAACCUAU